rnacentral:rRNA from 1 species
AGGGCACCACCAGGAGUGGAGCCUGCGGCUUAAUUUGACUCAACACGGGAAAACUUACCUGGCCCGGACACUGGAAGGAUUGACAGAUUGAGAGCUCUUUCUUGAUUCAGUGGGUGGUGGUGCAUGGCCGUUCUUAGUUGGUGGAGCGAUUUGUCUGGUUAAUUCCGAUAACGAACGAGACUCUAGCCUACUAAAUAGACUGGUCGACUUUAUAGGUGCGUAACCCUUCAUGUACUUCCGGGCUUGGACCGCUGCGGUGACGUUGGCAGUGCUUCUUAAAGGGGACGGGCGGCGGUUCCGCCGCCCCAAACAGAACAAAAACAGGUCUGUGAUGCCCUUUUAUGUCCAGGGCCGCACGCGAGCUACAAUGAAAGAUCACCGUGCCAUUAAUGGUUCCUACUCCGGCAAGAAUGCGUAACCCGUUAGGACUUCCUCGUGAGUGGGAGUCGGGAUUGUAAUUAUUCCCCUUGAACGAGGAAUUCCCAGUCCGCGCAAGGCUAAACUUGCGGUGAGUAUGAG